GACGAACGCUGGCGGCGUGCCUAAUACAUGCAAGUUGAGCGCUGAAGGUUGGUACUUGUACCAACUGGAUGAGCAGCGAACGGGUGAGUAACGCGUGGGUAAUCUGCCUUUGAGCGGGGGACAACAUUGGGAAACGAAUGCUAAUACCGCAUAAAAACUUUAAACACAAGUUUUAAGUUUGAAAGAUGCAAUUGCAUCACUCAAAGAUGAUCCCGCGUUGUAUUAGCUAGUUGGUGAGGUAAAGGCUCACCAAGGCGAUGAUACAUAGCCGACCUGAGAGGGUGGUCCGCCACAUUGGGACUGAGACCCGGCCCAAACCCCUACGGGAGGCAGCCGUAGGGAAUCUUCGGCCAUGGACGAAAGUCUGACCGAGCCACGCCGCGUGAGUGAAGAAGGGUUUCGGAUCGUAAAACUCUGUUGGUAGAGAAGAACGUUGGUGAGAGUGGAAAGCUCAUCAAGUGACGGUAACUACCCAGAAAGGGACGGCUAACUACGUG
rnacentral:rRNA from 1 species